UUUUUUUUUUUGGACUUAGGUUUUUUAAUUUGAGCUUGGGCUUGGGCUAUAACAUUCAGACUACAUCAGAACUAAUGAUUGGUUGGCCAAGUCCAAAUUCAUUCGCUAUAUGUCAUGCUGAGUCAAGCAGUCUAAAACUGGGCUCUUCUCUAUUCUUUUGAUUCCUAGAAAUGAAUUAUAUUUUGCAAUCGGAGCUUAUUCAGUAAAUCUAACUUUGUAGGAAUCAACUUAUCUGCAAGACUUUUUUUUUUAAAAAAUAAAAGAAAAGAAUAGCCAAUUCUAGUUAGGGAUGGUUAUUCGCACGCCGGGAAGAAAAGAUCAAGAAUAAAUGAAUACUUGGGAUGAUAACAGGGAUGUCCUAUGAGUUCUUCACAAGUUAGCACUGCACACCACUGAAUUCAAGAGGAAAAC
rnacentral:lncRNA from 1 species